rnacentral:rRNA from 1 species
UGGGGAAUUUUGGACAAUGGGCGCAAGCCUGAUCCAGCAAUGCCGCGUGCAGGAUGAAGGCCUUCGGGUUGUAAACUGCUUAUGUACGGAACGAAACGGUCUUUUCUAAUACAGAAGGCUAAUGACGGUACCGGAAUAAGAAGCACCGGCUAACUACGUGCCAGCAGCCGCGGUAAUACGUAGGGUGCGAGCGUUAAUCGGAAUUACUGGGCGUAAAGCGUGCGCAGGCGGUUUCGUAAGACAGAGGUGAAAUCCCCGGGCUCAACCUGGGAACUGCCUUUGUGACUGCAUAGCUAGAGUACGGUAGAGGGGGAUGGAAUUCCGCGUGUAGCAGUGAAAUGCGUAGAUAUGCGGAGGAACACCGAUGGCGAAGGCAAUCCCCUGGACCUGUACUGACGCUCAUGCACGAAAGCGUGGGGAGCAAACA